rnacentral:sRNA from 1 species
GUGAAAUUUGCUUUCUGUUUCAUGGGCUGCUGGGGGCCUGGCCGGAGAGGAGCUGGGGGCCACGGAGAAGCAGGUGCCAGCUCUGGUGCAGAGGCUCCUAUGGCCUUUCAGGCCCGUGGCAGAGGGUGGGCUCAGGAGGGCCAUCGUGGGUGUCCCCCGGGUGGUUGAGCUUCCCGGCAGGCGUGUGACCUGCGCGUUCUGCCCCAGGCCGCUACCUGUCUGAGGAACCCGAGCCCUACCUGGCAGUCUACCUGCACUCGGAGCCCCGGCCCAAUGAGCACAACUGCUCGGCUAGCAGGAGGAUCCGCCCAGAGUCACUCCAGGGUGCCGACCACCGGCCCUACACCUUCUUCAUUUCCCCGGGGAGCAGAGACCCAGCGGGGAGUUACCAUCUGAACCUCUCCAGCCACUUCCGCUGGUCAGUGCUGGAGGUGUCCGUGGGCCUGUACACGUCCCUGUGUCAGUACUUCAGCGAGGAGGACAUGGUGUGGAGGACAGAGGGGCUGCUGCCCCUGGAGGAGACCUCGCCCCGCCAGGCCGUCUGCCUCACCCGCCACCUCACCGCCUUCGGCGCCAGCCUCUUCGUGCCCCCAAGCCAUGUCCGCUUUGUCUUUCCGGAGCCGACAGCGGAUGUAAACUACAUCGUCAUGCUGACAUGUGCUGUGUGCCUGGUGACCUACAUGGUCAUGGCCGCCAUCCUGCACAAGCUGGACCAGUUGGAUGCCAGCCGAGGCCGCGCCAUCCCCUUCUGUGGGCAGCGGGGCCGCUUCAAGUACGAGAUCCUCGUCAAGACAGGCUGGGGCCGGGGCUCAGGUGAGGGGCGCAGCGGGGUGGCAGGGCCUCCCCUGCUCUCACUGGCUGUGCUGGUUGCACCCUCUGGGAGUGAGUCUCGUCGCAGGCGUCAGAACAAGGCAGUUUUUGCA